UACGGGAGGCAGCAGUGGGGAAUAUUGCACAAUGGGCGCAAGCCUGAUGCAGCCAUGCCGCGUGUAUGAAGAAGGCCUUCGGGUUGUAAAGUACUUUCAGUCGUGAGGAAGGUGUUAAGGUUAAUAACCUCAGCAAUUGACGUUAGCGACAGAAGAAGCACCGGCUAACUCCGUGCCAGCAGCCGCGGUAAUACGGAGGGUGCGAGCGUUAAUCGGAAUUACUGGGCGUAAAGGGCACGCAGGCGGUUAAUUAAGUUGGAUGUGAAAUCCCCGGGCUUAACCUGGGAAUGGCAUUCAAGACUGGUUAGCUAGAGUCUUGUAGAGGGGGUAGAAUUCCAUGUGUAGCGGUGAAAUGCGUAGAGAUGUGGAGGAAUACCGGUGGCGAAGGCGGCCCCUGGGACAAAGACUGACGCUCAUGUGCGAAAGCGUGGGGAGCAAACAGGGAUUAGAUACC
rnacentral:rRNA from 1 species